UACGAAGGGGGCUAGCGUUGCUCGGAAUUACUGGGCGUAAAGGGCGCGUAGGCGGCCACUCAAGUCGGACGUGAAAUCCCUCGGCUCAACCGGGGAACUGCGUCCGAUACUGUUUGGCUCGAGUCCUGGAGAGGGUAGUGGAAUUCCCAGUGUAGCGGUGAAAUGCGUAGAUACUGGGAGGAACACCGGUGGCGAAGGCGGCCUGCUGGGCAGUUUAGCUGACACUGAGGCGCGACAGCGUGGGGAGCAAACAGG
rnacentral:rRNA from 1 species